CCCGCCGGGGACGCAGCAGCGGGAACGCAGCGUUUGUACGCACAAACUCCGUGAAGCUGAGGGGCAAGUUUCAUAUUUUAAUCACGAGCUGAUUUCUGCAACAGCACAUCUGCUGGAAUGUGAACAUACACAUCUCUGUGUGUGUGCCAAAAAACUCAGUUACACAGAACUGGCCCUGUGCCACUAACAUUGCUGCAGUCAGACAGCAACCAACUUGAAUUCCUGCUCCUCACAGCCGGAAUGUUGUCCAAAAGGCAAAGAUGCACCAAUGUCUGUUUGAGCCCGGGGUACAGCAGGAACUGGGGAUAAUGAGACAUGUGAGCAGAAGAAGGGUGGGAGGAAUAAAAAAGUGAUUUAAUGGUGCAUGACAUGAAUGGAGAAAAAUACAGUCUAAGAAUAAAUUGCUAAAGAAGAAUAGAAAGCAGAGACACUCAUCUCCCUCCAGCAACGAUGAAAUCUAAGGAUAACAGGAAAUAAAGCAAUUAAGGUCAAGACUGGUAUCAAGCUUCUGUUCAGAUCAGCAUGCUCAUCAGAAUCCAAGCUGCUAAACGAGGGAGAGGGCAGUGAGCAAACAACUGCAUGGUGUUCAGCUGCCUGCCGAGUUAAAGCACAGCAAUAAUAGCGGGGGGAAAAGAAGUACCUGACGAGAGAAAGACCCAACUAUGGAUGGCAGAAGGGGAAGUGAAGAUGGCAGAAGUGUGGGAAACCUCACAGCCAGUCAAAGCCAACAACACUGAAUUAAGAUGUCGUUAUCAGCCAUCUGUUCCUGGUCCUGCUCUCAAUUUCUUCCAUCAAAGAAAUAAUUCCAGACAUGAAACACCUCAUUGGAGCAACAAUCACCUGAAACUGCCAGAGUGCUGCAAUGCAACAGUGGGCCUGGCUUGCAGGGAGCAAUUGAAGGAACUUUUUCCGAUAUGCUGGUGUCACCAUAUACAGCAGGUGAUUCAUACUGGGAAUAGAAACCAGCUCAAGAUGAGUGCCCUGCAGAAGCUGAUUUGCUGCUUAUGCUACCAACACGUGCAGGUACAUGGCAUCCCAUCAGAGAGGUGCUUUGGCAGGCAGCUCCUGCCCGCCCGUCCGAGCCCCACUGCCCAGCACAGCACAGCCCGAG
rnacentral:lncRNA from 1 species